GGGCGUGUGGUCUAGUGGUAUGACGUCUGCUUCGCACUAAAUUGCGAUCGAACAAGGGUCAAACCUUGAAUCAGCAGAAGGUCCCGGGUUCAAAUCCCGUCUCGUCCA
rfam:Malassezia sympodialis ATCC 42132 genomic scaffold, msy_sf_12